CCUACGGGAGGCAGCAGUGGGGAAUAUUGGACAAUGGGCGAAAGCCUGAUCCAGCCAUGCCGCGUGUGUGAAGAAGGCCUUCGGGUUGUAAAGCACUUUCAGUGGGGAAGAAAGCCUUGGGGCUAAUACCCUCGAGGAAGGACAUCACCCACAGAAGAAGCACCGGCUAACUCCGUGCCAGCAGCCGCGGUAAUACGGAGGGUGCGAGCGUUAAUCGGAAUUACUGGGCGUAAAGCGCGCGUAGGCGGUCUGAUAAGCCGGUUGUGAAAGCCCCGGGCUCAACCUGGGAAUGGCAUCCGGAACUGUCAGGCUAGAGGGCAGGAGAGGAAGGUAGAAUUCCCGGUGUAGCGGUGAAAUGCGUAGAGAUCGGGAGGAAUACCAGUGGCGAAGGCGGCCUUCUGGACUGACACUGACGCUGAGGUGCGAAAGCGUGGGUAGCAAACAGGAUUAGAUACCCGUGUAGUC
rnacentral:rRNA from 1 species